rnacentral:rRNA from 1 species
AGAGUUUGAUCCUGGCUCAGGAUGAACGCUAGCGACAGGCUUAACACAUGCAAGUCGAGGGGCAGCAUGAUUUGUAGCAAUACAGAUUGAUGGCGACCGGCGCACGGGUGAGUAACGCGUAUGCAACUUACCUAUCAGAGGGGGAUAACCCGGCGAAAGUCGGACUAAUACCGCAUGAAGCAGGGGCCCCGCAUGGGGAUAUUUGCUAAAGAUUCAUCGCUGAUAGAUAGGCAUGCGUUCCAUUAGGCAGUUGGCGGGGUAACGGCCCACCAAACCGACGAUGGAUAGGGGUUCUGAGAGGAAGGUCCCCCACAUUGGUACUGAGACACGGACCAAACUCCUACGGGAGGCAGCAGUGAGGAAUAUUGGUCAAUGGCCGAGAGGCUGAACCAGCCAAGUCGCGUGAAGGAAGAAGGAUCUAUGGUUUGUAAACUUCUUUUAUAGGGGAAUAAAGUGGAGGACGUGUCCUUUUUUGUAUGUACCCUAUGAAUAAGCAUCGGCUAACUCCGUGCCAGCAGCCGCGGUAAUACGGAGGAUGCGAGCGUUAUCCGGAUUUAUUGGGUUUAAAGGGUGCGUAGGUGGUGAUUUAAGUCAGCGGUGAAAGUUUGUGGCUCAACCAUAAAAUUGCCGUUGAAACUGGGUUACUUGAGUGUGUUUGAGGUAGGCGGAAUGCGUGGUGUAGCGGUGAAAUGCAUAGAUAUCACGCAGAACUCCGAUUGCGAAGGCAGCUUACUAAACCAUAACUGACACUGAAGCACGAAAGCGUGGGGAUCAAACAGGAUUAGAUACCCUGGUAGUCCACGCAGUAAACGAUGAUUACUAGGAGUUUGCGAUACAAUGUAAGCUCUACAGCGAAAGCGUUAAGUAAUCCACCUGGGGAGUACGCCGGCAACGGUGAAACUCAAAGGAAUUGACGGGGGCCCG